GACGAACGCUGGCGGCGUGCUUAACACAUGCAAGUCGAACGGAAAGACCCUGCUUUUGUGGGGUGCUCGAGUGGCGAACGGGUGAGUAACACGUGAGUAACCUGCCCUUGACUUUGGGAUAACUUCAGGAAACUGGGGCUAAUACCGGAUAGGAGCUCCUGCUGCAUGGUGGGGGUUGGAAAGUUUCGGCGGUUGGGGAUGGACUCGCGGCUUAUCAGCUUGUUGGUGGGGUAGUGGCUUACCAAGGCUUUGACGGGUAGCCGGCCUGAGAGGGUGCCCGGCCACAUUGGGACUGAGAUACGGCCCAGACUCCUACGGGAGGCAGCAGUGGGGAAUAUUGCACAAUGGGCGGAAGCCUGAUGCAGCAACGCCGCGUGCGGGAUGACGGCCUUCGGGUUGUAAACCGCUUUCGCCUGUGACGAAGCGUGAGUGACGGUAAUGGGUAAAGAAGCACCGGCUAACUACGUG
rnacentral:rRNA from 1 species